rnacentral:rRNA from 1 species
UACGUAGGGGGCAAGCGUUGUCCGGAAUCAUUGGGCGUAAAGAGCGUGUAGGCGGCUUGGUAAGUCCGCUGUGAAAGUCCAGGGCUCAACCCUAGAAAGCCGGUGGAAACUGUCAAGCUUGAGUCCGGAAGAGGCGAGUGGAAUUCCUGGUGUAGCGGUGAAAUGCGCAGAUAUCAGGAGGAACACCAAUGGCGAAGGCAGCUCGCUGGGACGGUACUGACGCUGAGACGCGAAAGCGUGGGGAGCAAACAGG